AACGAACGCUGGCGGCAGGCUUAACACAUGCAAGUCGAGCGCCCCGCAAGGGGAGCGGCAGACGGGUGAGUAACGCGUGGGAAUCUACCCAUCUCUACGGAAUAACGCAUGGAAACGUGUGCUAAUACCGUAUACGUCCUUCGGGAGAAAGCUUUAUCGGAGAUGGAUGAGCCCGCGUUGGAGUAGCUAGUUGGUGGGGUAAAGGCCUACCAAGGCGACGAUCCAUAGCUGGUCUGAGAGGAUGAUCAGCCACACUGGGACUGAGACACGGCCCAGACUCCUACGGGAGGCAGCAGUGGGGAAUAUUGGACAAUGGGCGCAAGCCUGAUCCAGCCAUGCCGCGUGAGUGAUGAAGGCCCUAGGGUUGUAAAGCUCUUUCACCGGUGAAGAUAAUGACGGUAACCGGAGAAGAAGCCCCGGCUAACUUCGUGCCAGCCGCCGCAGUAACAC
rnacentral:rRNA from 1 species